CUCCUUCCCUCUUCCACCCUCUCUCUCCUUCCCAUGCUCUCACUCUGAUAUAUCAAAUAGGCUACACGCAAUUACGCCAUCUAUCAAACCUCCCAGACGUUCCAAUCAACAGCGCCAUACGGAACGCGCACAAGCGCCAGACCCAGGAUUCGAACCAGCCACAACUCCUUUGCCACUGGCCUAUCUACCUGCUUGACCGGUUCCAGAGAAGAAUGAAAAAAGGAGGAAAAACAUGUAUUCAUCUACAGAAAUAAACAUGAGUUAAUCUGCCAAAAUGAAGACAAAAUGCUAUGCAGACAAUUAUUAUGUAGAAUAACAACUUAUAUGCAGUUGUCAGCAGCAGCUGAAAGAGGGAUCUUCUGCCUCUGAUUGUUCUUGGUUACUGCCAGACUGAGAAAAACAGAUAGUGUUAAAAGUCAUGUCAUGAUUAACUAGGCUAUUGAAUCAACACUUAUUAUGCGUAAUUUAUCAUAAAUAAUGUAUACAUGCCUCUGUCAGCAACAGUGUUCUAGUGGCUUCAUGAAAUAUAGGCUAGGCCCCUCAAUUGACUCCACACUGAAAUAAAAUAAACAAUUAGCUAAUUGCCAUAGUCAGGCUGGAUCUGUAGCUCUAUUUGGCAUAUCCCAUAAUAAAAAAAAUUAAAUGUAUUUGAAAGUAA